GCUUUAAAGAAUAAGUGCUUAAUAUAAUAGAACUAAUAUUUUAGCUUAUUGUUGCUGAAAAAGUUAGUCUGCUGUGAAUAUAUUUUAGCCAACACCAGGGGGCUUUUCCGUCCCAAAACGGCUCUAUGAACUCCGCCAUCUGGGUGCAUUUACAUCCAGAUGGUUGUGA
rfam:Yersinia pestis CO92 complete genome